rfam:Calypte anna contig65321, whole genome shotgun sequence.
CCAAAGGUUUUUUUCAAAACUAUUUAUAAAUACCUUAGGAGUAAA